rnacentral:tRNA from 1 species
GCAGGGGUGCCGGAGCGGUUAAACGGGCAGGACUUAAGAAAUUUUUCAGAAAUGAAAAAUUUUGGAAUCCGUUGAAGCGAUCCUGUGGCUUAGUGCCUUCGGGGGUUCGAAUCCUCCCCCCUGCA